GAUGAACGCUGGCGGCGUGCCUAAUACAUGCAAGUCGAACGGACGGACGCUGAUCUUGCGGGGCUCAUGUGAGGCGAGGACGGGUGAAAAACGCGUGUAAAACCCACCUGUAAGACGGAUAACACUACGGGAAACCGGAUCUAACACCGUAGAAGCUUUUGCAGCGCGGGGGGCGAAGGUGAAUUACGGUCGUGCGGGCAGUAAUCGAUGGAUCCGCGCUGGAUUGGCUGGUUGGUAAGGUAACGGCUUACGAAGGCGACGAUGCAUAGCCGAACUAAGAGGGUGAUCGACCACCCUGGAACUGAGACACGGUCCAGACUCCUACGGGAGGCAGCAGUAGGGAAUGGUCCGCAAUGGGCGAAAGCCUGACGGAGCAGCGCCGCGUGAGUGAUGAAGGUCUUCGGAUCGUAAAACGCUGUUAUUAGGGAAGAACAUAUGUGUAAGUAACUGUGCACAUCUUGACGGUACCUAAUAAGAAAGCCCCGGCUAACUACGUG
rnacentral:rRNA from 1 species